AUUGUGUUAUGUAAAAUACAUUAUUAAAAUUAAUUUCACCUGUUUCUUUUUCCUUUUCAAAAUGUGGUUACCAGGACAUCUUAAAUUGCAAAGAGGCUCUCAUUACAUUUCCAUAGGCCAGCACUGCACUUCUCCCUUGCCACUCUUCAUUAACACAUGAGCAAAGGAGAGGACUGAGUGGCCCAGAUGGAAAGCAGAAAUGCAGACAGAGGCCUGUGGAAGAAGAAUCUUAAAAUAACUAAGCAACUCCAAGAAAACAAGUGAGGAUUUAUUGGAAACAACUGCCUUGAAAGAAGGAAAAAACACUCCAACUUGUUCAAAGCACUUUAUUCUGAUUUCGCCUUUGACCCAGAACUUAUCUAGAGAAAAUUUGAGAAGAUAAUACAGAAAGCUCAUAUACUUCAAGCUAUGGGAUGAAUUGUGUUCAACAAAGAAGUUUCUGAUAAGAAAUCUGCUGUAAUUCUCAUCCUUAUUCCUUGAGGAAAGAACCUUUCCUGGCUGAAGUCAGAGGCUGAGGCCAGAGGAAGAUGUGACUAUAGAAGAAUGAUCAUACGAUUGCAAUAUUGCUGGUCUUGAAGACAGAGGAAGGAUGUGGGUUACAUCUAGAAACUGGAAAAGGCACCCACACCCUUGGAGCCCGAAACCAUGCCAUGCACAUGUAACCAACCAGCUACAUGUGAAGGUCACAUAAAGGUGUUCUUGUCCUGGCUCUAGUUAAGGUUCCAGCUCUCAAUCAGCAUCAAUUGUGGAAAAUGGGAGUGCAUGAGCUUUUAGAUGAUUUCAGUCCCCUGCCUUUGACACCAAGCAGAACUGAGACGAUCUUUCCACCGAGCCCUGGUCAAACUGCAGAUUCAUGAGCAAAAUAAACACCAUCAUCACUGAAGCAACAUUGCAUGUGGGGUGAUAUGUUGAGGAAGCCAUAGAUAAUCAGAGAAAGCUCCUUUUCUUUUUGAGCAAUACUAUUUGCAUAGGAGAGAGACAAAGCUGCAUGGACUGGCAACUUCCAUGACCAAAAAAGAUGUCAUUUUCUAAGGGCUUGAGUGGGAGGUGGCCCUGACAGCAUCUGCAUGAGCCAGAGAUGCACUCACACUUUCAUUAUUGCUUGAGGGUGCCAAGAACUGUAGCAGUAAGAGCAGAAGCAGAAAUGAAGAACACGAAGGAUGCUAUGGAGUGAGAGAAAAGUCCAUGCUUGCGAGAAUCCAAAGACACCCUGUGAGGACGCCCCAAAAUACUCGAGGAAGUGUAUAAAGAUGGUGCCUUCACAUAAACUGAACAUACGGCCGGCAAAGAGCACCCCUAUUCCAUCAUCCAAGUUCUCCUUCCUUAGCUGAAGUGAAAACAUUUGAAAUUGAUGAUACAAAGUGCUGGGGAGGGUGGAGAGAAAUGGCCCCUGUCUAAGCUAUAUGGAGAGUGAAUAGCAAGGCAGUUUGCCAAUAUCUAUCACUUGUUAAAUCCACAUACACUUUGCUCCAGGAAUUAGAAUUUCAGGAAUUUAUCUUAAAACUGUUGUAACAACACAUCUAUGAAGAGGUUUAUUGUAGCUUUGCUUACAGUGACUAAGUAUCAGAAACAACCUAGAUAACCGUCAGUGGGAACUGGUUGAAUAAUUUGUUUUAUCAACAUGUAGGAAAAUAUCUAAUCUCUGUAGAGAAUGAGGCAAACUUUUACAAACUUUGUAAGAUGUAAUUCUGAGUAAAAAUAAACAUAAGAACAAAAAAAUGAAAAUAACAAUGACAUGAUUUAGAAGAGUGUAUAAAAUAAAAUACAAAAGACACACGUACACAACUCAGAAUUACAGUGAAAAUUUUGGAAAGAUAAAAUGGAAACCAUUGUAAUGGUUACAGCUAGUAUUCUGGUAAAAAAGAAACAUAUUUUCAAGAUACUGUUCAGUACCAUUUGAAGUUUUUAUUUAUUUCAUUUUUAAACCAUGUAUUACAUUUUUUAAAUUAAAAGAAAGCAAAAGCUAAAAGCAAUAUGAACACAGAAAAGUCAGUAUGAGGUUGUCAAUACAUGAAGUUUGAAAGUGCAGACUUUUCAAAACUGCAUCACAGGAAAACUAAGGAAUAUCUACAUUUUGGACAGCAAAUUGCAUCCCAGCACAGAGAAUAUUUCUUGAAGAAAGCGGAUGGGUUUGACUUAAGGACUUGAGGGCUGGGGAAUUUUGCCACAAAACUCUAUUUUUUUCUUUCCCAAAGUGCGUGCAACCCUGGGGUUAACUACAUUCAAUGUUUUAUCAACUCACCCUUUCAUACACUCUGCUAUACUACUUUGAAACCGAAUUUAGGCUACUUUGCAUCAGCCAGUGAAAAGCCAAUUUCAAAUUGACACAUAUGUUGUUGUUAUCUGCUGGUCAACAGUUCUGUUUUAGCAGGUUGUCAUCUUUGUUUCUGUUUUUGUGAUCUUGUUGCUUUUAUUUUUGAGACUAUUAUUUUGAUUCUGUUGCCCAAAGCUUCUGUAGAAAAAAAUUUCACAGGGAGGGAGCAGCUGCCAAGAUCCACACCUUCUCCCCUCCACACCAACUCCAUCAUCUUCAACAACUGCCAACCUAUUCAUCCUGCUUCAGUUGGAAGAGCUAAACUUUUUGUUUAUUUUUGGAUUCAAGAUAAAAUUUUAUUCAAAAGAUGGAAUCCUAUAAUAAAACACUCUUGGAAAAUAAUCUUUAAUUGCAGUUUGCAUAUAAUAUUAUUUCAAAUUGAAUAUGAUACAGACAAAUUAAACGGCUAAUGCCAGUGUUAAAAAAUGCAAGUUUCCUAAAUGUAAUGUAAUUGAGAUAAAGACAGUAUUUGUUAGGCUUGCAAAGAAGAGACUAUUUAAGUAGAAGUAUGAGGUAGAGCUAAGCACAUGGCUUUUGGGGCCAGAAUGCCUGGGCUUAGACCUUAGUGCUGCUAAUUAUUGGCUAUGCAAACUUGGGCAAUCAUUUACACAUUCUGUGCUCUGCAUAUAUGACAUAGAAAUGUUCCUGGUGCUAGUGAUAUCACAUAGCUUUGUUAUGUAAUUUAAUCAAUUACUUGAAGGACUUAGACCAUGCUCAGUGCACAGUAAGCAUUAUAUAAAUAUUAGCUACUGUCAUUACCUUUAAUCAGGUGCUCCUUAUUAGGCUUAAUACUAUGUUCAAAGGUUAAUAUGCAUGAAAUAUUGGAAACAUAUUAAUAUUAUUUGGAGUUUUAUAAUCUACUUUGGCUUUGGGGGAAAUGAAUCACUCAUGAUAUGAAAAUCAAUAAUUCAACUUCUACACAUUUAAAUUCCAUAUAUAUUUUCAGGACACACUAAAUAACACAUUAGAAGCCUUUCUGCUCAAGUAUCUUAGUCAUUUUCUAGACAUAAUUUACAUACAGUAAAGUCCACAAAUCAGUUAUACAGAUGCAGACACCUAUGUAACCACCACUCAGAACACAAGAGAGAACAUUUCCAGCAACCAAGAAGGCUCCCACCUGCUCCUUCUCAAUCAAUAUCCCUAAAACAGUGAACCCUCUGACCUCUACCCUUUAAUUAGCUUUUCCUGUCCUUAAGGUUCAUAUAAAUGAGCUCAUUCAGUGAGUUCUCUUUGUGUCUGGCUCCUUUUGCUUGGCAAAUCUGUGAGUCCCAUCAAUGUCGUAUGAUAUACUACAAUCAUUUGCUCUAUUCUGUUGAUGGACCUUUGAGUUGCUUCCAGUUUGGGGCUAUUUGAAUUAAACAUUUUUGCGGAUCACGAGGUCAGGAGUUCAAGAACAGCCUGGCCAACAUAGUGAAACCCCGUCUCUACUAAAAAUACAAAAAUUAGCAGGGUGUGGUGACACGUGCCUGUAGUCCCAGCUAUUCAGGAGACUGAGGCAGGAGAAUCGCUUAAACCCAGGAGGUGGAGGUUGCAGUGAGCCAAGACCACACCAUUGCACUCCAGCCUGGGUGACAGAGUGAGACUCUGUCUCAAAAAACAAAACAAAACAAAACAACAUUUUUGAGCAUUUUUGUACGUGUCUUCUGGUGAAUACACAACUUGCAUCUCUUGAGGAGGGAGAUUUCUGAAUCAUAAUGUAGGCUUUUGUUUAGCACAACAGCCCACCAGUUUUUCUUUGCAUUUCGUAAGGCAAGUUGCACCAUUCUUGUCCCAGAUUGGAGGCCAACUUUUCUUCAGCAAUGUGGCAGGGUGGCCUGUACUAUGGGUGUAUUAGCCUGUUCUCAUGCUGCUAACAAAGACAUACCUGAGACUGGGUAAUUUAUAAAGGAACGAGGUUUAAUUGACUCACAGCUCCACAUGGCUGGGGAUUCCUCACAAUCAUGGCGGAAGGCAAAUGAGGAGCAAAGUCACGUCUUACAUGGCAGCAGGCAAGAGGCCAUGUGCAGGGGAACUCCCCUUUAUAAAACCAUUGGAUCUCAUGAGACUUAUUGACUAUCACAAGAAUGGUGUGGGAAAGAGCCACCCCCAUGAUUCAAUUACCUCCCACUGGGUCCUUCCCAUGACACAUGGGAAUUAUGGGAGCUACAAUUUAAGAUGAGAUUUGGGUGGGGACACAGCCAAACCAUAUCAAUGGGCAAGUUCAAUAAGCAAUGAAUGCUUAAGUACCCACCAGAGCACUGAAGCCACAGAGGUAGGAGGACCAAGAAUAGGCAUCUUGGCUGGUGACAUUCACUCAGACGUCAAGAUCCAAAUCUACAGUUUCUAUAGAGGAAAGCUUCCACUGGCAGCCAGGCCCCUGCCUUCAGGGAUGCCUCAGGCCCUGAGAGUUCACCUCUUCCUCCUGGCAAUGUCAAGUUCCACAUUUCUGAGCCAGGCAGAGGAAAUUACUUGUGAAUUUAUGACAGAGAAAAUAUUCUUUAAACAGAAUCUUCCCUGAUUAUUGGAGCAAAUUUGGCUGCUAGGAACUGCUUCUCCCUAUUAGCUCAUUGGGAACAGAGGGGAGAGCCUCUCACUCUGCUUAACCCCCUAUGGCUCUGUUCCUUGCCAGAGAAGGGGCCCAAUAAAUGCUUGACAAGUUAAAUGGAAAUGAUUUUUCCCCCUUUUAAAUGUCUCCUCACUAUGGCAUGUCAUUUAUACAGGACGAAGCUUUUAUUACAUUCAUCCUCUUUCCUCCUACCUAAUCCUCUUUUCUUUCAUCCUCCAUCCACCUGUCCUAUCGCAUUUGGGACUCAACAUGUGACAUGGAAUAAUAGUGGUUAAAGCAUUAGUUUAAGGGCCAAAAUGCCCAUGUUCAAACCCUGUUAUGCCCCAUAAUAGCCACUAGAUCUUUAUCAAAUAACUGUACUAUAUCACAAUUUUUUGUGCAAAUAAAUAAGUUAAUAUAUAUAGAAGUGCUUAGAAUUAUGCUGGGUUAAGGCCUACGUAAGUGUUACCAAAUAUUAUGUGAGAACCUACAGGGGAAAAAAAAGAAGGGAACCUCUGUUUAGCCAGAGUUCCUCUAUAGAGGUCUUCUACUCUGAAAACAUCACCCUUAAUUACUCCCAAAACAGUCUGCAAUAGUGAAGGAUACCAACCAGUAAUCCCUCAUGUCUAAUUAUACCCUAAAAACUUGCAAGCACCUUAUAUUCAGAAUAUAUUUGAAUCCUUACAGGAACCUUUUGAAAAAGAAGAAGAGGUAUUAUCCCUAUUUUGCAGGAACUAAAGUUCUUGGGCUUUCUAUCACGCAACCAUCUAAUCACUCAUUCACCCAUUCACUGAUAUAGAGAUUGUGUUAAGCCCCUCCCAAUCCCAGUCCCCAUCCCCCGCACACUGUGUGCUUCACCCAAUGCUCCUGCCUGGUCAGCCAGAGCCCAGGUCUUCUAAUAGCCAUCCUGCUCUAGUCCUACCCACCAGACCCCAGCCCUCUGUGAGCUUUUAUUCGACUACUCACUUCUCCAUCUCUCUUUUCUACCUCUUCCUCAUCCAGACUUUCAUCACCUGAACAUCACAUUCACUGCAUUUAAGUUGAAUGGCUUCCUAACUUAAUAACUUACAUAAAAAUUUUGUAUUUUAUUGUAUACUAUGUGUUUAAUAUUUAGCAGAAAGAAUAACAGAUAGAAAAAAUGAAAGAGUAAAUGAAAAUACAGAUAUACAAUAAAUGAAAAAGAGAGUCUAUAUUUUACCAUUCUGGAUAAUUGCUAUAUCUCUAGAGCAGAUACGUGUAUGUGUAUGUAUAAAUUUUAACAAAAUUGGUAUUGGAAUACACAUAACAUUUUAAAACAUACUUGUAAACUUUAAUAUCUAUCUUUCCAUGUCAAUACAUAUUUAUCAACCAAAUCAAUUUUAAUUGACUGAACAAUGUUGCACAGUAUAGAUAUCCAUUACUUAAUUUGACCUGUUAUUGAACAGUAGGUUAUUUCCUUUUAUAGAAAUGUUUUGCUAGUAUAAACAAUGCUAAGAUAAACAUCCUUGUAUAUACUUUUAUGUUCAUAUCCUUAAUGAUGUACUUUAAAUAAAUUCUAACUGG